UUAGAAGACACAGUUGAGAGGGACGAACACAGCAAAACAAAUUUGUACCAAAAGCAAGUUUAAUUGUACACCUUUAUUUUCAUAAAAUGUAUGUAUUGUAAUAUUUUAACAAGUGUAACUUUCUUUCUCUGCAUAAUACAUCUGUACUAUAUUUACCCAUCUAAACCCUAUUACUGAAGAAGAAUCGACCAUUUAUUUCUCUCAAAGCCGGUGAAAGAGAAUUAAAAAUUUCUUCCUAUUCAGAUUUGUUAAUGCUUUUUUGGUCCAAACAUAUUUCAAUCCAGAUGAACACUGGCAAGCCCUUGAAGUUGCUCAUCGAAUCUCAUUUGGAUGUGGACAUUUGACGUAGAAAUGGGAAAAGGGAAUAAGGAGUUAUCUUCAUCCAGUGAUAUUUGUUGGAUUGUAUAAAGUUCUUGCCCUUUUUCAUCUUGACAAACCUUGUUUCAUGGUAAGAAUUGUAUAUCCUGGUUCCCUACCUAAUGUAUCAAAUAAUGGUAGAGAAGCAGCUUCAAAGGCAAGGUAUGAUUAUACAUUUAAUGGCUUAUGUGAGCAAUUUUUUUUGACAUGUUCGAAACUACCUUAUUCUGCUUCUUUUUGUAAUUUAAUUCUGUCACUUUUCUUCUCAGAUGAACUUUGUUUUAACAACAUGAACACGAUAAUUAUUUGUAGAUGUCUACAUCUUUAUGAGUUUGACAUUUGUUGAAGAACUUUUCUUUCAGAUUAUGAAAUUUUAGUAUAUAUUUUGACCUUAUAGUCUAAACUGAAAAGACGCUGAUAUUUUAUAUUUAGACGAAAACAUUUUUAUGUUUAAGCAAACUUGAUUCAAAUCCUUUUUAAUCAUCUAGUUUUUUCCAUCUUAAAUAUUGUUCACCGUGAAUAAAGUACUGACAAUUGAAUGCAUUGAUGAAGCACCGAUAUUUUUCUUAAUUGUCUUCCACAAUUUUUCUUGGAUUCUUGUGAGUUCUAACAGAUGUCUCUUAAAAUACAUUCAUAAUUUUGUUGUCAAUAUUAUGCAGGUCUAGCUCUAAAAUACUAAAAAUUAGUAGUAUUUUCUUAUAAAUAUAUGAUACUUUUUGUAGAUAAGUAAUGGCUUGAUGUGGUCACAUGUUUGACGAAUUUUCCCAAUGAAGAUAUGACUUGUGUAUUAUGAAGAGAGAUUAGUUACAAGAGUUGUUUAUGUUGGUGGAAUGAAGUUGAACGGUGGGCUUAGAGAAUAGACAUUUUCCACUAAUAUCUGUUUUUCAUAUGGUAUUUUUCCUCAAUAAAAUGAGUAAUUUUUAUAUGUUAAAGGUUUCUGCUUUGGAGUGAUUUUAUUUUCCUGUGAUGUCACAACUUUAAGGUAAUUAUUAAGAAAGAAUCUGAGUUGCCGAAUUUUUUGAUGCUGCCAUGAAAUAAGAAGUUAUAUGGUAAUGCUAAAAAUUCAGGGUAAUCUUUCACUAUUGAUCUUUUUGUUGGUUGAAGUUGAACUACAUUUUCGAAAAAAUUUAGCUACUAAUAUAGUUAGCUGAGGUGGUUUUCAAAAAAAAUUAUUUUAAAUUACAAAGUCAGAAAUAACAAACAGGUUGAAUCAGGCGAAAAUGUUGAUUUCCAGGCUCUCCAAUCUCCAAGUCCUCUAAGGUACCAUUCCCAUUUUCUUAAGAAGCUUUAAACUUUUUAGUUGUUUUCUUUUGACAACUGAAUUUUUUCGCUAUUCUGUGUUAUUUAUUGAUAAUGACCCUUGAUGUUGGCGUUGAUUUAUUUUUUAGCAGUUCUUGGAUAAGAGCUGAAACAUUAAUAUUGAAAAUUCUAUUACUACAUUGAGUUCUACAAGUCUGUCAUAUGAUCUUAUACUUUCUCAAAGUUUCUGCCUCAUGUGUUCAUAUUAGUUAAGAUGCAAUUAAUGAUGUUAGAAAUUUUUUUCAUCUGAUCAAUAAAAAAACGAAAAUAAGAAAUCUAGCAAAUAAGUAACAAUGUUGAUGCUAGAAUUUUUUUUUUGAGAGAUGAGAGUAAUAAAAUGUCCACUUAAUGGAAGAAUCCUAUAAGACUAACACUUUUCUUUAAUCUCGAGUUUGUUGCUCAAGAGUAGCUACUAUUCAAGUUGCUUCUGAUAACUCUAGAUGAGUUCACAAAACAAAGAAUUAAUAAUGACGAUUUCAAGUACUAAAUUAGAUAGUUCAAUUUGAAAAUAUUGUCUGAAAUCCACAAAACAAAUCCGCUAUGAAAUUCUUAUCAUUGAAUACAAUUUACAGAUUGUCGUUUAAUUCUUUUUCUCUCAAUCUGUUUGAGGGAUAAGGGGAUGAAAUACAGAGAACAACCCAUAUUGAAACAAAGUUUGUUGUUUUGCAGCUAAUGUCUGUUGAGUUUCCGUGCUUGACGUUAUUUCAAUUUAUUUUACUAUUCAUGAAUAUGAAUAAGAUAAUUUUCUAGAUUUAUAUUAGAAAGUAUUCGACCUACUAAUAAUUAUUUGUGUUCGACAAAUGUUCGAUAGAACUUUGAGUGCAUCACUGAUGAAAAUAAGUAGAAUGUUUAUGGUACUUAUAUGUAGGUAUCUGCUUAUGGGAAGAGGAAAAUCACGACUCACAAAAAUGCAAGUGAUAUGAUUAAGCUCAGUAGAAUUGUUGUCGCAAAACAGAUAAGACAUGCUCCAUUUGCUACUUACCAUAGACACAACUAUGAUCACCUCCGUUCAUCAUCUUUGUCAUUUACCUAGAAGAUUAGAAGCAACUUUCGAAAUCUUCAGGAAAUCUGUCCAAAGUUGAAUGCAUAGAUUUUGAGUGAAGAAAUGUAGAAGAGACCACCUA